rnacentral:rRNA from 1 species
CAGCCGCCACGGGAAUACAGAGGGUGCAAGCGUUAAUCGGAUUUACUGGGCGUAAAGGGCGCGUAGGUGGUUAUGUAAGUGAGAUGUGAAAUCCCCGGGCUCAACCUGGGAACUGCAUCUUAUACUGCGUAGCUGGAGUGCAGUAGAGGGUAGUGGAAUUUCCGGUGUAGCGGUGAAAUGCGUAGAUAUCGGAAGGAACACCAGUGGCGAAGGCGGCUACCUGGACUGACACUGACACUGAGGCGCGAAAGCGUGGGGAGCAAACAGGAUUAGAUACCCCGGUAGUCCCUGUCUCUUAUAC